CCGGCACGGGUGAGUAACACGUAUCCAACCCGCCGUCUACUCUUGGACAGCCUUCUGAAAGGAAGAUUAAUACAAGAUGGCAUCAUGAGUUCACAUGUUCACAUGAUUAAAGGUAUUCCGGUAGACGAUGGGGAUGCGUUCCAUUAGAUAGUAGGCGGGGUAACGGCCCACCUAGUCUUCGAUGGAUAGGGGUUCUGAGAGGAAGGUCCCCCACAUUGGAACUGAGACACGGUCCAA
rnacentral:rRNA from 1 species